ensembl:lncRNA
GUUCAGCCCAGUCACGCUCAGUCCUUGUCCCAGUCAGAGGGCACCGUCCGUCUGACGACUGUUAGUCCUACCCAAUCAGGCCCGACGUCUUCCCCGUCGAGCUCGGCAGCUGUAAGCUGUCAUGCCAGCUCCGGAGUUGACGCCGUUCCAGUCCCUGUCGGCCAUGUUGCGGCCGUUCCAGUCCCUGUCGGCCAUGUUGCGGCCGUUCCAGUCCCUGUCGGCCAUGUUGCGGCCGUUCCAGUCCCUGUCGGCCAUGUUGCGGCCGUUCCAGUCCCUGUCGGCCAAGUAGCGGCCGUUCCAGUUCCUGUUCCUGUCGGCCAAGUAGAUGCCGUUCCAGUUCCUGUUCCUGUCGGCCAAGUAGAUGCCGUUCCAGUUCCUGUUCCUGUCGGCCAAGUAGAUGCCGUUCCUGCCCCUGUCGGCCAUGUUGAGGUCGUUCCUGCCCCUGUCGGCCAUGUUGAGGUCGUUCCUGCCCCUGUCGGCCAUGUUGAGGUCGUUCCUGCCCCUGUCGGCCAUGUUGAGGUCGUUCCUGCCCCUGUCGGCCAUGUUGAGGUCGUUCCUGCCCCUGUCGGCCAUGUUGAGGUCGUUCCUGUUCCUGUCGGCCAUGUUGAGGUCGUUCCAGUUCCUGUUCCUGUCGGCCAAGUAGAGGUCGUUCCAGUUCCUGUUCCUGUCGGCCAAGUUGAGGUCGUUCCAGUUCCUGUCCCUGUCGGCCCAGUUGAGGUCGUUCCAGUUCCUGUCCCUGUCGGCCCAGUUGAGGUCGUUCCAGUUCCUGUCCCUGUCGGCCAAGUUGAGGUCGUUCCAGUUCCUGUCCCUGUCGGCCAAGUUGAGGUCGUUCCAGUUCCUGUCCCUGUCGGCCCAGUUGAGGUCGUUCCAGUUCCUGUCCCUGUCGGCCCAGUUGAGGUCGUUCCAGUUCCUGUCUCUGUCGGCCAAGUUGAGGGCGUUCCCGUAGGCCAAGUUGAGGGCGUUCCCGUAGGCCAAGUUGAGGGCGUUCCCGUAGGCCAAGUUGAGGGCGUUCCCGUAGGCCAAGUUGAGGGCGUUCCCGUAGGCCAAGUUGAGGGCGUUCCCGUAGGCCAAGUUGAGGGCGUUCCCGUAGGCCAAGUAGAGGGCACCCCUGUCUCUGAUCCCGUUCCUGUCGGCCCUGUAGCGGUCGUUCCAGUCCCCGUUCCGGUCGGCCCUGUAGCGGUCGUUCCAGUCCCCGUCACCCUUGGAGCCGCAGCGCCCGCCGGCCCCCAGGAGGAGGCAGCACCUGCUGCAGUUCCUGCGCACCUCCAGGAGGAGGCAGCACCUGCUGCAGUUCCUGCGCACCUCCAGGAGGAGGUCGCCCCAGCCGCAGUUCCUGCGCACCUCCAGGAGGAGGUCGCGCCAGUCGCAGUUCCUGCGCACCUCCAGGAGGAGGUCGCGCCAGUCGCAGUUCCUGCGCACCUCCAGGAGGAGGUCGCGCCAGUCGCAGUUCCUGCGCACCUCCAGGAGGAGGUCGCGCCAGCCGCAGUUCCUGCGCACCUCCAGGAGGAGGUCGCGCCAGCCGCAGUUCCUGCGCACCUCCAGGAGGAGGUCGCGCCAGCCGCAGUUCCUGCGCACCUCCAGGAGGAGGUCGCGCCAGCCGCAGUUCCUGCGCACCUCCAGGAGGAGGCCGCGCCAGCCGCAGUUCCUGCGCACCUCCAGGAGGAGGUCGCGCCAGCCGCAGUUCCUGCGCACCUCCAGGAGGAGGUCGCGCCAGCCGCAGUUCCUGCGCACCUCCAGGAGGAGGUCGCGCCAGCCGCAGUUCCUGCGCACCUCCAGGAGGAGGUCGCGCCAGCCGCAGUUCCUGCGCACCUCCAGGAGGAGGUCGCGCCAGCCGCAGUUCCUGCGCACCUCCAGGAGGAGGUCGCGCCAGUUGCAGUUCCUGCGCACCUCCAGGAGGAGGUCGCGCCAGUUGCAGUUCCUGCGCACCUCCAGGAGGAGGUCGCGCCAGUUGCAGUUCCUGCGCACCUCCAGGAGGAGGUCGCGCCAGCCGCAGUUUCUGCGCACCUCCAGGAGGAGGUCGCGCCAGCCGCAGUUUCUGCGCACCUCCAGGAGGAGGUCGCGCCAGCCGCAGUUUCUGCGCACCUCCAGGAGGAGGUCGCGCCAGCCGCAGUUCCUGCGCACCUCCAGGAGGAGGUCGCGCCAGCCGCAGUUCCUGCGCACCUCCAGGAGGAGGUCGCGCCAGCCGCAGUUCCUGCGCACCUCCAGGAGGAGGUCGCGCCAGUUGCAGUUCCUGCGCACCUCCAGGAGAAUUACUAUUGCAACAACACAUCAUCAGUAGGGUAA